CCUACGGGAGGCAGCAGUAGGGAAUAUUGCUCAAUGGGGGAAACCCUGAAGCAGCAACGCCGCGUGGAGGAUGAAGGUUUUCGGAUUGUAAACUCCUUUUGUUAUAGAAGAUAAUGACGGUAUCUAACGAAUAAGCACCGGCUAACUCCGUGCCAGCAGCCGCGGUAAUAGGGAUGGUGCAAGCGUUACUCGGAAUCACUGGGCGUCAGGAGCGCGUAGGCGGGAUAGCAAGUCAGAUGUGAAAUGCUAUGGCUUAACCAUAGAACUGCAUUUGAAACUGUUAUUCUAGAGUAGGGGAGAGGUAGGCGGAAUUCUUGGUGUAGGGGUAAAAUGCGUAGAGAUCAAGAGGAAUACUCAUUGCGAAGGCGACCUGCUAGAACAUAACUGACGCUGAUGCGCGAAAGCGUGGGGAGCAAACAGGAUUAGAUACCCUAGUAGUC
rnacentral:rRNA from 1 species